UCCUAACACAAGCUUUAAAUUCUGUUAUUACUGUGGUUGUUCUUCCAAUGUGAAGUUGACUGCUUGCACCCGUUGCCACAAAGUGUAUUACUGCUCCAUGGCCUGUAAACUGAAAGCAUGGGAUGAGAGACAUAAGGACGAGUGUCAGCGGGAAGCGGGCGCUGCUUUCAAUUUUGACAAAGGACCCAUGUUGACACGCAGAAGACCUUUUCAUGUCCAGUUUGGACCCACAGUCCUGGUUUUUGGAGACAGCAUCUCAGAGUGGCAAACUAUUAACCUGAAGGAAAACUACAGCUUCAACUGAUGGCGAAUCUACCCAGCCAUCCAUUUUCUAGACCACUACCACCUCUGAAAACACUUGUCUCCAGUCCCCAAGUACCAUCAUAAAGACCAACACUCAAAUAAAAUAGCUUAGUAAAAACAAGACAGGUUUGAUUUAACAAGUAUAUUUAAUACUGUAACAUUACACACAGUUUGAACAGUAACACUGUGUUUGAAUAUAGGAAAAUAAAGCACUCUAGCUAAAUAAUGAAUCAAAUCAAAUUAAUUGCACAUCAAAGUAAACAUUGUACUAAAAUGAAUAUAUUAUCAAUAAUAAAAAUAAUAUUAUGUGUGUUCUGCAUGUUGAUUGGCUGGGAAAGGAUGGGCGUAAGUGGACAAUGCGGAGAACAUUCGGUUCCCACGUGUGC